UGCCAGCAGCCGCGGUAAUACGGAGGGGGUUAGCGUUGUUCGGAAUUACUGGGCGUAAAGCGCACGUAGGCGGAUUAGUAAGUCAGAGGUGAAAUCCCGGGGCUCAACCCCGGAACUGCCUUUAAAACUGGGUACCUAGAGUUCUGGAGAGGUAAGUGGAAUUCCUAGUGUAGAGGUGAAAUUCGUAGAUAUUAGGAGGAACACCAGAGGCGAAGGCGGCUUACUGGACAGAUACUGACGCUGAGGCACGAAAGUGUGGGGAGCAAACAGGAUUAGAUA
rnacentral:rRNA from 1 species